rnacentral:rRNA from 1 species
GAUCAUGGCUCAGGAUGAACGCUGGCGGCGUGCUUAACACAUGCAAGUCGAACGGAGUUUUUAAACGGAAGUUUUCGGAUGGAAGUUUAAGAACUUAGUGGCGGACGGGUGAGUAACGCGUGGGUAACCUGCCUCAUACAGGGGGGAUAACAGUUAGAAAUGACUGCUAACACCGCAUAAUAUAGUGAAACCGCAUGAUUUUGCUAUCAAAUAUUUAUAGGUAUGAGAUGGGCCCGCGUCUGAUUAGCUAGUUGGUGGGGUAAAGCCUACCAAGGCGACGAUCAGUAGCCGGCUUGAGAGAGUGACCGGCCACAUUGGGACUGAGACACGGCCCAAACUCCUACGGGAGGCAGCAGUGGGGAAUAUUGGACAAUGGGGGAAACCCUGAUCCAGCGAACCGCCGCGUGAGUGAAGAAGUAUUUCGGUAUGUAAAGCUCUAUCAGCAGGGAAGAUAAUGACAGUACCUGACUAAGAAGCCCCGGCUAACUACGUGCCAGCCGCUGC